GAGUUUGAUCAUGGCUCAGAUUGAACGCUGGCGGAAUGCUUUACACAUGCAAGUCGAACGGCAGCACGGACUUCGGUCUGGUGGCGAGUGGCGAACGGGUGAGUAACAUAUCGGAACGUAUCCAAUAAUGGGGGAUAACUAAUCGAAAGGUUGGCUAAUACCGCAUACGCCCUACGGGGGAAAGCUAGGGACCUUCGGGCCUGGCGUUAAUGGAGCGGCCGAUAUCUGAUUAGCUAGUUGGUGGGGUAAAGGCCCACCAAGGCGACGAUCAGUAGCUGGUCUGAGAGGACGACCAGCCACACUGGAACUGAGACACG
rnacentral:rRNA from 1 species